rnacentral:rRNA from 1 species
CGGCACGGGUGAGUAACACGUAUCCAACCUGCCGUCUACUCUUGGACAGCCUUCUGAAAGGAAGAUUAAUACAAGAUGGCAUCAUGAGUCCGCAUGUUCACAUGAUUAAAGGUAUUCCGGUAGACGAUGGGGAUGCGUUCCAUUAGAUAGUAGGCGGGGUAACGGCCCACCUAGUCUUCGAUGGAUAGGGGUUCUGAGAGGAAGGUCCCCCACAUUGGUACUGAGACACGGACCAA